AUUGAACGCUGGCGGCAUGCCUUACACAUGCCAGUCGAACGGUAACGGGCCUUCGGGUGCCGACGAGUGGCGAACGGGUGAGUAAUACAUCGGAACGUGCCCGAUCGUGGGGGAUAACGAGGCGAAAGCUUUGCUAAUACCGCAUACGAUCUACGGAUGAACGCAGGGGACCGCAAGGCCUUGCGCGGACGGAGCGGCCGAUGGCAGAUUAGGUAGUUGGUGGGAUAAAAGCUUACCAAGCCGACGAUCUGUAGCUGGUCUGAGAGGAUGAUCAGCCACACUGGGACUGAGACACGGCCCAGACUCCUACGGGAGGCAGCAGUGGGGAAUUUUGGACAAUGGGCGCAAGCCUGAUCCAGCCAUGCCGCGUGCAGGAUGAAGGCCUUCGGGUUGUAAACUGCUUUUGUACGGAACGAAAAGCCUUCUUUUAAUACAGGAGGGUCAUGACGGUACCGUAAGAAUAAGCACCGGCUAACUACGUG
rnacentral:rRNA from 1 species